rfam:Rattus norvegicus chromosome 4, whole genome shotgun sequence.
GGGGAUUUGGCUCAACGGUAGAGCGCUUGCCUAGCAAGCGCAAGGCCCUGGGUUCGGUCCCCAGCUCCG